GAGGACACGCUGGCGGCGUGCUUAACACAUGCAAGUCGAACGGAGUUACGUAUGAAGUAUUUCGGUACGGACUACAUAACUUAGUGGCGAACGGGUGAGUAACACGUGGGCAACCUGCCCUUAACCGGGGGAUAACAUUGUGAAAACAGUGCUAAUACCGCAUAACAGAGUAUCGGGCAUCCGAUAUUUUUAAAAGGAGCAAUCCGGUUUAGGAUGGGCCCGCGUCCAAUUAGCUAGUUGGUGAGGUAACGGCUCACCAAGGCUACGAUUGGUAGCCGAACUGAGAGGUUGAUCGGCCACAUUGGGACUGAGACACGGCCCAGACUCCUACGGGAGGCAGCAGUGGGGAAUUUUGGACAAUGGGGGAAACCCUGAUCCAGCCAUGCCGCGUGCAGGAUGAAGGCCUUCGGGUUGUAAACUGCUUUUGUACGGAACGAAAAGGUCCUUUCUAAUAAAGAGGGCUCAUGACGGUACCGUAAGAAUAAGCACCGGCUAACUACGUG
rnacentral:rRNA from 1 species